GUGUGGAGACCGGCCGUGACCUUUGACCUCUCCCAGGCUGCAGGCGGAGCAUCAGCAGUGUCAGUCUGACCUGAGCGCCGCUGUGGAAACCCUUAGGAGGAUGACCUCUGACCUGGAGGCCGAGGCCAGAGGACACGCCCACACCCAGACACUGCUGCAGCAGGCUGUCCAGGCUCAGCAGGAGACUCAGGACGUCUUCCUGAACGUCCUCACUCAGAUCUCAGAGGCUCUGCAGCCUGACGGCCCCGCCGGAGCCGCAAGGCAUGAUGGGAAACCUGCAGCCGCCGAGGUGACCGCGCAGCUGAGGACCACCCUGAAGACAUACCGGGAGGAGGUGGAGAGGCUCCAGGAGGAGAACCUUAGUCUGACACAGCUCAGCUCGCAGCUGAGGAGCCAGCUCCUGGAGGUGCAGCAGGAGGCUGUGACGCUGCAGGAGGAAGCAGCUCGACUCCGCCAGGAGGCCUCUGAUUGGUCGACUCAAACCAGGGAGCUGCAGGAGGAGAAGGAGGAGAGAGAGAGGGAGAGGGAGGAGAGGGAGGAGAGUGAGAGGAAGGAGAGAGAGAGGGAGAGGAAGGAGAGAGAGAGGGAGAGGGAGGAGAAAGAGAAGAAGGAGAGAGAGAGGGAGAGGGAGGAGAGAGAGAGGGAGGAGAGAGACAAACAGGAGAGGGAGAAAAGGGUGAAGGAGCAGAGGGAGGAGGAGGAGAUGGUAAUUAUUAAGUUUUUUCUGUUCGUCCAGCAGAGGGUGCCACUGAUUAAAUACUGAUGUGUGUGUGUGUGUGUGUGUGUGUGUGUGUUGCAGGCCCGCCUCUCCUCCCUCUACUCCCUCUAUCAGCGCCUGCUGGCCGGCUGUGUCCUGCUCCCCGCGCCCCAGAGCAUGCUGGGUAACUUCACCUGGCAGGAGCUCUGUGACGUCAUGAGCGAGCAGGUGGAGCAGCUGACCUCUGACCUCCGGGCAGCCAAGGAGGAGGUGGCUGCACACACACACACACACACACACACACACACACACACACACACACACACACGCACACACACACAGAGGAGGCCACUUUUCUGUGUUUUGCUCCUGACCGUGUGUGUGUGUGUGUGUGUGUGUGUGUGUGUGUGUGCAGGUGGCCCGCCUGCAGUGUGUGUGUGAGAGGAAGGCGGUGUGUGUCCGGGAGCUGCAGCGCCGCCACAGGUGUGUGUUGUCCCGUCUGGAGGUGAGUGUGAGGAAGAGGGAGGAGGCGUGGAGGCAGCGGUACACACACACUCUGAGCCAGCUGGAGGUAUCACACACACACACACACACACACACACACACACACACAGGAGGAGCGGCGGGAUCGAACACUGACCCUCCUCGUGGUGCUGACUGUUGCAGCGGUGCCGCUCCCAGUGUGACCUCCUGACCUCUGACCUCUGUGAGAGCCGCGGCCGGGCGGCGUCCUUCCGGGUGGCAUGCCUCCUGCUGGGCGGGGCUCUAGGCCACGCCCACUGCCGGCGCCGCUGGCUCUGCCAGCAGAAAGCCCUGCUGAGCCGGCGCCUGGAGGCGCGGGAGCAGCUGGAGAGGGAGGUGCGGAGGCUGGCCUCCGCCCUGGGGGGAGGGG
ensembl:lncRNA